rnacentral:rRNA from 1 species
AACGGCCGUACCAUGCUGAAUACACCGUUCUGGUUAGAUCACCGGGUUAAGCAUCAUUGAGCGCGGUCAGUACUUGGGUGGGUGACCACCUGGGAACACCGCGUCGUUGG